rnacentral:rRNA from 1 species
GGUGCAAUGUUGAAAGUUGGCUUUCGAGCUAACACUGCAGGAUGGGCCCGCGGCGCAUUAGCUAGUUGGUAAGGUAAUGGCUUACCAAGGCGACGAUGCGUAGCCGACCUGAGAGGGUGAUCGGCCACACUGGGACUGAGACACGGCCCAGACUCCUACGGGAGGCAGCAGUAGGGAAUCUUCCGCAAUGGACGAAAGUCUGACGGAGCAACGCCGCGUGAGUGACGAAGGCCUUCGGGUCGUAAAGCUCUGUUGUUAGGGAAGAACAAGUACCGUUCGAAUAGGGCGGUACCUUGACGGUACCUAACCAGAAAGCCACGGCUAACUACGUGCCAGCAGCCGCGGUAAUACGUAGGUGGCAAGCGUUGUCCGGAAUUAUUGGGCGUAAAGCGCGCGCAGGCGGUCUUUUAAGUCUGAUGUGAAAGCCCACGGCUCAACCGUGGAGGGUCAUUGGAAACUGGAGGACUUGAGUGCAGAAGAGGAGAGUGGAAUUCCACGUGUAGCGGUGAAAUGCGUAGAUAUGUGGAGGAACACCAGUGGCGAAGGCGGCUCUCUGGUCUGUAACUGACGCUGAGGCGCGAAAGCGU